CUACAGUAUCUAACUAGUGUCUAACUCACUAACCCUGACUACAGUAUCUAACUUCAGUGUCUAACACACUAACCCUAACUACAGUAUCGAACUACAGUAUCUAACUACAGUAUCUAACUAGUGUCUAACUCACUAACCCUAACUACAGUAUCGAACUACAGUAUCUAACUACAGUAUCUAACUACAGUAUCUAACUAGUGUCUAACUCACUAACCCUGACUACAGUAUCUAACUACAGUAUCUAACUACAGUAUCUAACACACUAACCCUAACUACAGUAUCUAACACACUAACCCUGACUACAGUAUCUAACUACAGUAUCUAACUACAGUAUCUAACACACUAACCCUAACUACAGUAUCUAACACACUAAUCCUGACUACAGUAUCUAACUACAGUAUCUAACUACAGUGUCUAACUACAGUGUCUAACUACAUUAUCUAACUACAGUAUCUAACUACAGUAUCUAACUACAGUGUCUAACUCACUAACAGUUAAUGUGUUCAUGGAGAAUUCCAAUUUCCUUUCAUCUUGACAAGGCCAAACAAAGAAAUUAAUAGUUUUAUAAUUUUUAUAGUUGAAAAUCGUAACUAAAAUUGGUUAAACUCAUUUUCUCGUUUAUGGUUUCCAAAUUGGGCCUAACCCUAACCAACAAAUGAAUAAAGUUGGCUUGCACCACCUGGCUAGCUAGCAUUAGCCUGCUAAAGUUAUUGCUGACUAGCUAGCAAGCUGGCUAACUGACUAGCUACAUAGCCUUGCCUGGCUACUGUCUAUAGUCAUUCUAGCUAGUGAAAUUAAUUUAGUCCCUCAUGCUAGCUAGUAGUAGCUAGCUAGUGGAAGCAAGCUAACGUUAGUCCCUCAACCUGCUACAAGAUGAAUGUGGCACGGCCAGAGGAAUCCCCGACCUAACAAGGUAAAAAUCUCUCGUUCUGCCCGUGAACAAGGCAGUUAACCCACUGUUCCUAGGCCAUCAUUGUAAAUAAAAAUUUGCUCUUAACUGACUUGCAAAUUUAAACCAAGGUAAAAAAAAAUUAUGAAUUAAAAAAACCUGCAGCAGAAAGGUACGAUUUCUACAUUACUUUCUGUAUCUAACUUUGCUAGAUCUUCUGUCUGGCUGGUGCUUAUUGACUGUGUAGGCUAAUAAAGAGCUGCAAUUAGUGUAAUUAGUAUUUGAUCCUUUGCAUAGCUAUUUCUUACACAUUCAAUACAACAAUAUCCAGUUACACUUCACACAAUUCUGAUAUUGUGUGUGUGGGGGGUCAGAAUAUGCCCCAGGAAACAGCAUGGAAAAUGAACAGAUCAUAAAGAAGAUCAUACAGGUACCUCAGCCAAUAGAUAUUCUGGGCUGAGUGAAUGGACUGGAUAGGGCUGAGUGACUGGACUGGAUAGGGCUGAGUGACUGGACUGGAUAGGGCUGAGUGACAGGACUGGAUAGGGCUGAGUGACUGGACUGGGUAGGGCUGAGUGACUGGACUGGAUAGGGCUGAGUGACAGGACUGGAUAGGGCUGAGUGAAUGGUCUGGAUAGGGCUGAGUGACAGGACUGGAUAGGGCUGAGUGACAGGACUGGAUAGGGCUGAGUGACUGGACUGGAUAGGGCUGAGUGACAGGACUGGAUAGGGCUGAGUGACUGGUCUGGAUAGGGCUGAGUGACAGGACUGGAUAGGGCUGAGUGACUGGACUGGAUAGGGCUGAGUGACUGGACUGGAUAGGGCUGAGUGACUGGACUGGAUAGGGCUGAGUGACAGGACUGGAUAGGGCUGAGUGACUGGACUGGAUAGGGCUGAGUGACUGGACUGGAUAGGGCUGAGUGACUGGACUGGAUAGGGCUGAGUGACAGGACUGGAUAGGGCUGAGUGACUGGACUGGAUAGGGCUGAGUGACUGGACUGGAUAGGGCUGAGUGACUGGACUGGGUGAGUGGUCUGGAUAGGGCUGGGUGAAGGUGAAGUUAAUAUCAUACUUUUUAUUGAUGUGGGUAUAAUUCCCAAACCUCCUUUCCUGCUUACUGAAAGGCAGAUGUAGAAAAGGCAUAAUGCUGAGGAUACUACAUGAAUUGCUAUGGCAACUGGCCUACUUUUCUUAAUGCAUACCAACCUCCUUGUGAAUGUUUACCUUUAAACAGGUUAACAUACACAAGGCCGCAGGGCCAGACGGAUUACCAGGACGUGUACUGCGAGCAUGCGCUGACCAACUAGCAAAUGUCUUCACUGACAUUUCCAACCUCUCCCUGUCCGAGUCUGUAAUACCAACAUGUUUCAAGCAGACCACCAGAGUCCCUGUGCCCAAGAACACUAAGGUAACCUGCCUAAAUGACUACAGACCCGUAGCACUCACGUCUGUAGCCAUGAAGUGAUUUGAAAGGCUGGUCAUGGCUCACAUCAACACCAUUAUCCCAGAAACCCUAGACCCACUCCAAUUUGCAUACUGCCCCAACAGAUCCACAGAUGAUGCAAUCUCUAUUGCACUCCACACUGCCCUUUCACACCUGGACAAAAGGAACACCUAUGUGAGAAUGUUAUUCAUUGACUACAUGUAAUGCACUAGUUAGAAGAAGUGUCGGAGUCAGGCGCAGGACACAUGGAUGAGUGUAAACAAAAUGCGUGUUUACUAAAAUUCAUGAAUAAACUUCUUCUAAUAGAAAAUACAGGAUUGGGGAACAACCCCUCCAAGAACACAAAACAGGAAACCGACAAGACAAACAGGAAAUGCAGAGGGUUAAAUAAUAAACAUAAUUAGGGAAAUCAAAAACGGGUGUACACAAUAAAG
rnacentral:lncRNA from 1 species